rnacentral:rRNA from 1 species
CCUACGGGAGGCAGCAGUGGGGGAUAUUGCACAAUGGGGGAAACCCUGAUGCAGCGACGCCGCGUGUGGGAAGACGGUCCUCUGGAUUGUAAACCACUGUCCCCAGGGACGAAGAUGACGGUACCUGGGGAGGAAGCUCCGGCUAACUACGUGCCAGCAGCCGCGGUAAUACGUAGGGAGCGAGCGUUGUCCGGAAUUACUGGGUGAAAAGGGAGCGUAGGCGGGACUGCAAGUUGGGUGUCAAAUCUACCGGCUCAACCGGUAGCCGCACUCAAAACUGCAGUUCUUGAGUGAAGUAGAGGCAGGCGGAAUUCCUAGUGUAGCGGUGAAAUGCGUAGAGAUUAGGAGGAACACCAGUGGCGAAGGCGGCCUGCUGGGCUUUUACUGACGCUGAGGCUCGAAAGUGUGGGGAGCAAACAGGAUUAGAUACCCGAGUAGUC